AUGGACGUACAGCUGUUCCGGACACGGUGCUCUAUUUUCUCUUUUGUUUGGUCAGUUUUGGUUUUCAUAAACAAAUCUGGAAGUGUGAGUGUUUUAAUGGGUCAUUUUUCAUGUAUGUUUCAGGGUGAACCAGGGGUGUGCAACUGCAUUAUGCCCAUGCAGCCGAGCAUAGGUGGACCUGGAGCUCCAGGAACAGCAGGAAACAUGUGGCAGCUCGGCCCUCAGGACUAUGUUGGACCGCGGCAGCCACUUCAGGAUUCCACAGACAUAGAUGAGGGAUGUGAAGGGGGCUGCUCCAAGGGGUUGCCAGGGGUACCAGGCAUGGCUGGGGCCAAGGGUGAGAAAGGAGACCAAGGCAAGCCUGGUGCAACCCUUUUGGACAGCUGUGACAGGUGUUUAGAGAGGCUGCAAAAGGAACCAGCCACGCAAGCAGUGGGAGAUCGGUCCUACACAGGAACACCUGGACAUCCGGGGGUGCCCGGAUCACCUGGAAUCAAAGGCGAUCCUGGUGCACCAGGAGAAAGAGGUCCAGCUGGAACUCCAGGAUUCAUGGUGUGUGAGAAAGAGAAACCUCAAGUAGAAAUCAGACGUUGUUUUGUUUGUGGACUUCCUCUCUUCCAUUCAGGGUCAAAGUUCAGCCUCGAACACCCUCGGUAA
rnacentral:lncRNA from 1 species